AGAGCGAACGCUGGCGGCAGGCCUAACACAUGCAAGUCGAGCGCCCGUAGCAAUACGGGAGCGGCAGACGGGAUAGUAACACGUGGGAACGCGCCCUUCGGUUCGGAAUAACUCAGGGAAACUUGAGCUAAUACCGGAUACGCCCUUACGGGGAAAGAUUUAUUGCCGAAGGAACGGCCCGCGUCCGAUUAGCUAGUUGGUGAGGUAAUGGCUCACCAAGGCGACGAUCGGUAGCUGGUCUGAGAGGAUGACCAGCAUCACUGGGACUGAGAUACGGCCCAGACUCCUACGGGAGGCAGCAGUGGGGAAUAUUGGACAAUGGGCGCAAGCCUGAUCCAGCCAUGCCGCGUGGAUGAUGAAGGCCUUAGGGUUGUAAAGUCCUUUUAACGGGAGUAUAAUGACGGUACCCGUAGAAUAAGCCCCGGACUAACUUCGUGUCAGCAGCCGC
rnacentral:rRNA from 1 species